CACACAUGGUUCAGGUGCAGCUCAGCCAAGGCUCACACGUGAUGCAGGCACGAAACAGAACAGGGUCCCAUGUGGCUGACGCAUGAUUCAGGUGUUUGGCAUGCAUGGCUCCCACACGGCUGAGGUGUGGCUCGUGCAUGGCUGUGGUGCCACUCAGGCAUGGCUCACACUUGUUUGUGGCAUGGUUGACACGUGGUCCAGGCAUGGCAGGCAGGGGGCUCUAGAGUGGCUGACACGUGCUUCAAGUGAGGCUGGUGUGUGGUUAAAUUGGGACUGGCACAUCGUUCAGUCGUGGCUGGCUUGUGACUUCAGGAUGGGCGAGAUGAGACUCAGGCGUGGCUCACACGUUUUUCAGGGAUGGCUGACACGUGACUCAGGUGGAGCAGCCACGUGACACAGGCAUGCCUGUCACAUCACGCAUGUGUGGCUCGCACCUGGUUCAAGAACGGCCUUCACAUUGCUCAGGGGUGGCUGGUGCGUGGUUCAAGCAUGGGUGCCAGCUGUUUCAGGUGUGGCUGACACAUGACACGGGCAUGGCUGACACGUGACUCAGGCAUUCAUCGCACAUUACCAUGCCUGGCAGACAUGUGUUUCAUGCAUGGGUUACGUGUUGUUCGUGUGUGGGACACACGUGUCUCGUUUUUUGCUGACCCAUGGCUCCCACCUACUCAGACGUGGCUUGCAUGUGGCUGACACAUGGCCCAGUCAUGUUUCACGUGUGGCUUCCAUGUGGUUGACGUGUGGUUCAGGCAUUGAAGAUGGGUGCUUGACUCGUGGUUCCCAUGUGGUUCAAGUGUGACACAUGUGGUUCAGUCAUGCUUCAGGUGUGACUCCCGAAGGGUUCAGGUGGAACCCAGCAGUGGCUCACACAUGGCUGAUGUGCGUGUCACCUAGGGUUGAGGAGUGUCCCCCGUGAUUCAGGCAUGGCUCACACGUGGUGCAGGCAUGGCUCAGCCAUGGCUCACAUGCAGUUCAGACGAGCCUCAGACAGGGGCCAGGAGUGGCUGACACAUGAUUCAGGAGUUUGUCACACAUGGCUAACACACAUCUCAGGGGAGGCUCACGCAUGGCUGGGGCUUGGCUCUGGCAUGGUAGGCACACUGCUCAGGACUGUCUGACACGAGACUCAGGUGUUGCUCACAUGUGUUUCCCGCAUGGGAUUCUGGUGUGUCGGGCAUGGGUUCCAGUGCUGUGUGGUGCUUCAUUGAGGCCGCAGUGACAUGUGAUUGCUGCAGUCCUGACACAUGUGGUGUGGCAGUUGACAAAUGGCUCAGGCGUGGCUGACAUGUUGUUCAGAUGUGGGUGACAGGUGAUUCAGCUGUGGCUGGCACUUUACUGAUGCGGGGCUGACACAUGACGCAGGCAUUGCUCACACGUGACUCAGGCAUUCAUAGCACAUUAUCCAUGCAUGGCAGGCAUACGGUCACACAUAUGUGACAUGCCGUACAGGUGUGGCUCCCACAUGUCUCCCAGGUUGCAGGAACUUAGCUCUCAAAUACUCACUCAUGUCUGGCACGUGGCUCAUACAUGGCUCAGCUGUGUUUCAUGUGUGGCUCCCAUGUGGUUCAUGUGUGCUUCAAGCAUUGAUCAUUUGUGUUCCAGAUAUGGUUCAGAUGUGGUUCAAGGGUGUCUCACGUGUGGUUCAUGCAUGGCUCACACAUGUUUCGACUGUAAUUCAGGCGUGGCUCACACAUGACUCGUGUGGGUCACAUAUGGUAGAGGAAGCUGUCACACGUGGUUCAGGCAUAGCUCAGGUGUGGCUCACCUGUGUAUGUGGCAUGAUUUGCACUUGGUUCAGGCCUGGCUUUCACGUGACUUUGGCACAGCUGCGGCGUGACAUAAUCAUGGCUCACACAUUCUUCAGGAGUGGCUGACACAUGACUCAGGUGAGGCAGCCUCAUGACACACGCAUGCCUGACACGUCAUGCAGGUGUGGUCCACACAUGGUUCAUGCAUGGCCUUCAUGUGGUUCAGGCGUGGCUUGUGCCUGGUUAACGCAUGGGUGGCAGGUGGUUCAGGCAUGGCUGAUAUGUGACUCAGGCAUGUGUGAAACAUGCCUCCGUUGCGGCUGACACAUGUGUCAGGCAUGGCUGACACGUGACUCAGGCAUUCAUUGCACAGGAUCCAUGUGUGGCAAACAUGCAAUCACACAUCUGUGACAUGUAAUUCAGGCAU
ensembl:lncRNA